CUAUGGUUGUAAGCUCAGUGGUAGAGCGCUUGCCUAGCAUGUGUGAGGCACUGGGUUCAAUCCUUGGUAUCAUAUA
rnacentral:tRNA from 1 species